GACGAACGCUGGCGGCGUGCCUAAUACAUGCAAGUCGAACGCAGUGGGGACGGGUGAGUAACACGUGGGUAACCUCCCAUCAGAGGGGAUAACACUUGGCAACCGGCGCUAAACCGAUCCUGAUGGAUGGACCCGCGGUGAAUUAGCUAGUUGGUGAGGUAACGGCGCACAAAGGCCACGAUGCAUAGCCGACCGGAGAGGGUGAUCGGCCACACUGGGACUGAGACACGGCCCAGACUCCUACGGGAGGAAGCAGGAGGGAAUCUUCGGCAAGGGACGAAAGUCUGACCGAGCAACGCCGCGUGAGGGAAGAAGGUUUUCGGAUCGGAAAACUCUGUUGUUAGAGAAGCGGUAUCUAACCAGAAAGCCACGGCUAACUACGUGCCAGCCGCCGCGGUAAUUC
rnacentral:rRNA from 1 species